rnacentral:rRNA from 1 species
CCUACGGGUGGCAGCAGUGAGGAAUAUUGGUCAAUGGACGAGAGUCUGAACCAGCCAAGUAGCGUGAAGGAUGACUGCCCUAUGGGUUGUAAACUUCUUUUAUAUGGGAAUAAAAUGUUCCACGUGUGGGCUUUUGUAUGUACCCUAUGAAUAAGGAUCGGCUAACUCCGUGCCAGCAGCCGCGGUAAUACGGAGGAUCCGAGCGUUAUCCGGAUUUAUUGGGUUUAAAGGGAGCGUAUGUGGAUUUUUAAGUCAGUUGUGAAAGUUUGCGGCUCAACCGUAAAAUUGCAGUUGAAACUGGCAGUCUUGAGUACAGUAGAGGGGGGCGGAAUGCGUGGUGUAGCGGUGAAAUGCUUAGAUAUCACGAAGAACUCCGAUUGCGAAGGCAGCUCACUGGACUGCAACUGACACUGAGGCUCGAAAGUGUGGGUAUCAAACAGGAUUAGAUACCCUUGUAGUC